UACGUAGGACCCCAAGCGUUGUCCGGAUUUACUGGGUGUAAAGGGAGCGCAGGCGGAUUAUUAAGUCGAUUGUGAAAUCUUGCGGCUCAACCGCAAAACAGCAGUCGAUACUGGUGAUCUUGAGUGUGGAAGAGAGUGGCGGAAUUCAUGGUGUAGCAGUGAAAUGCGUAGAUAUCAUGAAGAACACCGGUUGCGAAGGCGGCCACUUAGUCCAUUACUGACGCUCAUGCUCGAAAGCGUGGNGUCACACGAGUAUACNUNA
rnacentral:rRNA from 1 species